GACGAACGCUGGCGGCGUGCUUAACACAUGCAAGUCGAACGGAAAGGCCCUGCUUUUGUGGGGUGCUCGAGUGGCGAACGGGUGAGUAACACGUGAGUAACCUGCCCUUGACUUUGGGAUAACUUCAGGAAACUGGGGCUAAUACCGGAUAGGAGCUCCUGCUGCAUGGUGGGGGUUGGAAAGUUUCGGCGGUUGGGGAUGGACUCGCGGCUUAUCAGCUUGUUGGUGGGGUAGUGGCUUACCAAGGCUUUGACGGGUAGCCGGCCUGAGAGGGUGACCGGCCAGAGGGGAGCAGAGAAAGGCCCGAGGCCCCUGGGGGGGGCAACGGGGGGAAAUAUUGCAAAAGGGGGGGAAGCCUGAUGGAGCAGCCCCGCGGGGGGGAUGGCGGCCUUGGGGUUGAAACCCGCUUUCCCUUGGGACGAAGGGGGGGGGGGGGAAAGGGGUAAAGAAGCCCGGGCAAACUACG
rnacentral:rRNA from 1 species